rnacentral:rRNA from 1 species
GAUAACGCUGGCGGCGUGCCUAAUGCAUGCAAGUCGAACGGGCGUUCUUUCGGGGACGUGACCGUGGCGGACGGGUGAGGAGCACGUAGCUGACCUGCCCUGGUGUGGGGGAUAUCCGCGGGAAACCGCGUGUAAUACCGCAUGUGCUUCAUUGGAGGGAUCCGGUGAAGGAAAGCCGAGAGGCGUACCAGGAGGGGGCUGCGUCCGAUUAGCUAGUUGGUGGGGUAACGGCCUACCAAGGCGAUGAUCGGUAGCUGGUCUGAGAGGACGAUCAGCCACACGGGGACUGAGACACGGCCCCGACUCCUACGGGAGGCAGCAGCAAGGAAUUUUCCACAAUGGGCGCAAGCCUGAUGGAGCAACGCCGCGUGGGGGAUGACGCACUUCGGUGUGUAAACCCCUUUUCGAGGGGACGAAGGCAAUGACGGUACCCUCGGAAUAAGGAUCGGCUAACUACGUGCCAGCAGCCGCGGUAAGACGUAGGAUCCGAGCGUUGUCCGGAGUUACUGGGCGUAAAGCGCGCGCAGGCGGACACGCGCAUCGGCGGUGAAAGCCCCCCGCUCAACGGGGGAGGGUCCGUCGAGAUGGCGUGUCUGGAGGCAGGGAGAGGCCAGUGGAAUUCCGGGUGUAGUGGUGAAAUGCGUAGAGAUCCGGAGGAACACCAGUGGCGAAGGCGGCUGGCUGGACCUGACCUGACGCUGAGGCGCGAAGGCGUGGGGAGCGAACGGGAUUAGAUACCCCGGUAGUCCACGCAGUAAACGAUGGGUACUAGGUGUGGCGGGAGUUGACCCCUGCCGUGCCGGCGCUAACGCAGUAAGUACCCCGCCUGGGGAGUACGGCCGCAAGGCUAAAACUCAAAGGAAUUGACGGGGGCCCGCACAAGCAGCGGAGCGUGUGGUUUAAUUCGACGCAACGCGCAACACCUUACCACGGUUUGACAUCCACCGAACCUUGCUGAAAGGCGAGGGUGCCUUCCGGGAGCGGUGAGACAGGUGCUGCAUGGCUUGUCGUCAGCUCGUGUCCGUGAGAUGUUGGGGUUAAGUCCCCGCAACGAAGCGCAACC